GCAGUGUACCCGCGGCAAGACGGAAAGACCCCGUGAACCUUUACUAUAGCUUGACACUGAACAUUGAGCCUUGAUGUGUAGGAUAGGUGGGAGGCUUUGAAGCGUGGACGCCAGUCUGCGUGGAGCCGACCUUGAAAUACCACCCUUUAAUGUUUGAUGUUCUAACGUGGAUCCGUAAUCCGGGUUGCGGACAGUGUCUGGUGGGUAGUUUGACUGGGGCGGUCUCCUCCUAAAGAGUAACGGAGGAGCACGAAGGUUGGCUAAUCCUGGUCGGACAUCAGGAGGUUAGUGCAAUGGCAUAAGCCAGCUUGACUGCGAGCGUGACGGCGCGAGCAGGUGCGAAAGCAGGUCAUAGUGAUCCGGUGGUUCUGAAUGGAAGGGCCAUCGCUCAACGGAUAAAAGGUACUCCGGGGAUAACAGGCUGAUACCGCCCAAGAGUUCAUAUCGACGGCGGUGUUUGGCACCUCGAUGUCGGCUCAUCACAUCCUGGGGCUGAAGUAGGUCCCAAGGGUAUGGCUGUUCGCCAUUUAAAGUGGUACGCGAGCUGGGUUUAGAACGUCGUGAGACAGUUCGGUCCCUAUCUGCCGUGGGCGCUGGAGAACUGAGGGGGGCUGCUCCUAGUACGAGAGGACCGGAGUGGACGCAUCACUGGUGUUCGGGUUGUCAUGCCAAUGGCACUGCCCGGUAGCUAAAUGCGGAAGAGAUAAGUGCUGAAAGCAUCUAAGCACGAAACUUGCCCCGAGAUGAGUUCUC
rnacentral:rRNA from 1 species